UUCAAAGGGCCACUAUCGGUGAUCAUACGAACAGACUUUGUUUCUGUUUUUUUCAACGUACAUACCACUGGGCGAAAGUCCCCGGGCUCUGAGGCAGAGAGUGCCAACCUUAACCAGGUCGGACCUCCGCGACGGCACUUGCACUGUCACUUGUGACGUGUGCUUGUUGCCCGCGGGGUAGAUAGCCAAAGUUACAGUUAUGUGGCCAGUU
rnacentral:RNase_MRP_RNA from 1 species